CUGAAGUAGGAGGCAUUGCAAACACUAGCAUUAUUAAACCCCAGAAUAGGGGGAAAAACGGUUGACACUCCAGUAUUUUAAUUCCAUUCCUUCACGGUGUAAGCAAAGACCAGUAUAAUCACCAUCACAUCGAAAGCAGAAAAGCUCAUAAGCAGGUUUGAACACGCAAACAAUGAUAAAAGGAAAUAAAGUAGAAAACUAAGCUUCUUUUCCUCCUUUUUAAACCAACCAAACAGAUACAAGGGCAUCCAAG
rnacentral:misc_RNA from 1 species